GGCGGCGUGCCUAACACAUGCAAGUCGAGCGGGAAAGUUCCCUUCGGGAGCGAGUACAGCGGCGCACGGGUGAGUAACACGUAGGUAACCUACCCUGGGGAUCGGGAUAACCUGUCGAAAGACGGGCUAAUACCGGAUAAGACCACGGGAGCCUCGGCUCCUGAGGUAAAAGAUGGCCUAUGCUUGCAAGCUAUUACCCCGGGAUGGGCCUGCGCACCAUUAGCUAGUUGGUGAGGUAACGGCUCACCAAGGCGAAGAUGGUUAGCUGGUCUGAGAGGAUGAUCAGCCACACUGGGACUGAGACACGGCCCAGACUCCUACGGGAGGCAGCAGUGGGGGAUAUUGCGCAAUGGGCGAAAGCCUGACGCAGCGACGCCGCGUGGGUGAUGAAGGCCUUCGGGUCGUAAAGCCCUGUCAGGAGGGACGAAACCUCGCCGACCUAAUAUGUCGGCGACCUGACGGUACCUCCAAAGGAAGCACCGACUAACUCCGUGCCAGCAGCCCGCGGUAAUACGGAGGGUGCGAGCGUUGUUCGGAAUCACUGGGCGUAAAGCGCGUGUAGGCGGCUUCUUAAGUCCGGUGUGAAAUCCCGGGGCUCACCCCCGGAAGUGCGCUGGAUACUGGGAAGCUUGAGUACCGGAGAGGA
rnacentral:rRNA from 1 species